GAUGAACGCUGGCGGCGUGCCUAAUACUUGCAAGUCGAGCGAACGGACGAGAAGCUUGCUUCUCUGAUGUUAGCGGCGGACGGGUGAGUAACACGUGGAUAACCCACCUAUAAGACUGGGAUAACUUCGGGAAACCGGAGCUAAUACCGGAUAAUAUUUUGAACCGCAUGGUUCAAAAGUGAAAGACGGUCUUGCUGUCACUUAUAGAUGGAUCCGCGCUGCAUUAGCUAGUUGGUAAGGUAACGGCUUACCAAGGCAACGAUGCAUAGCCGACCUGAGAGGGUGAUCGGCCACACUGGAACUGAGACACGGUCCAGACUCCUACGGGAGGCAGCAGUAGGGAAUCUUCCGCAAUGGGCGAAAGCCUGACGGAGCAACGCCGCGUGAGUGAUGAAGGUCUUCGGAUCGUAAAACUCUGUUAUUAGGGAAGAACAUAUGUGUAAGUAACUGUGCACAUCUUGACGGUACCUAAUCAGAAAGCCACGGCUAACUACGUG
rnacentral:rRNA from 1 species